rnacentral:rRNA from 1 species
AGGAAAAGAAACCAACAGGGAUUGCCUUAGUAGCGGCGAGUGAAGCGGCAAAAGCUCAAAUUUGAAAUCUGGCACUUUCAGUGUCCGAGUUGUAAUUUGAAGAAGGUAUCUUUGGGUCUGGCUCUUGUCUAUGUUUCUUGGAACAGAACGUCACAGAGGGUGAGAAUCCCGUGCGAUGAGAUGUCCCAGACCUAUGUAAAGUUCCUUCGAAGAGGUCGAGUUGUUUGGGAAUGCAGCUCUAAGUGGGUGGUAAAUUCCAUCUAAAGCUAAAUAUUGGCGAGAGACCGAUAGCGAACAAGUACAGUGAUGGAAAGAUGAAAAGAACUUUGAAAAGAGAGUGAAAAAGUACGUGAAAUUGUUGAAAGGGAAGGGCUUGAGAUCAGACUUGGUAUUUUGUAUGUUACUCUCUCGGGGGUGGCCUCUACAGUUUACCGGGCCAGCAUCAGUUUGAGCGGUAGGAUAAGUGCAAAGAAAUGUGGCACUGCUUCGGUAGUGUGUUAUAGUCUUUGUCGAUACUGCCAGCUUAGACUGAGGACUGCGGCUUCGGCCUAGGAUGUUGGCAUAAUGAUCUUAAGUCGCCC